AUCUAUAGAUUUCCGUUUGGUUUUGAAAUUUGGGUGUUUAGAGUUCCAAUUUUAGGGUUUUUAAUUUGGGGGGUUUGAUACAAUAAUAUGGUUUAUAUGCAACUGUGAAUUGUGAAUUGAUGAACAAGCCAUGUAUUGUUGAUGAACAUGCAGGGUUCAACUUGAAUACCCCUUUUUUUCCUAAUUCUCGCCAAAUCCCGUUACCCAGUUUCCGUACGCACCUGCUACCCUCUACGGUGUUGGAGUUCCUUCAAGCUGAGCUCGAGCUUCAAAGGGAAGAGAGGAAUUGCUUGUAGUGUUACUGAGCCACAUUCAGAUCCUGAGGGUGACAAUGAGGAGG